CACUCUUUCUCUCUCACGGUUGUGUCUUCUGAAAUCUUGAUUUUUUGAUUGUUUUGUUAACUUUUGAUUUCUUGAUUUAUUUGACAACUUCUGAAAACACAAGUUGUCGUAACUUUUUUUUUUUACUGAUUUGAGAUGAUUCUCUAUAUAAGGGUUCUUUCGGUUAUAGCAAACUGAUUAAAUAUUUGUUUUGUUGUAUGAGAAUGUUGAUGUUACAGCAAUUGCUGGGAGUGGUUGAAAUACUUCAAUUGAUGACCAAUUGUCAUCAUUUAUAGAAGAGAAACCAGCUGGAAAAGCAUGAAGAUGAAUUUUGCAUUUUAAACUAGCUAGAGAUGUCAAGCGAGAAGAGCAAACUUGGUGAUCAAAUUUCGCAGCUAAUUAGACACAUUAAUUGGAGCAAUAUGAUAAGUAAACGGGCACGGUACUUCGGAUGGGUUUCCAGAUAUGCUCUAUCUCUCCAAAGCGGUAAUUGAGGAAGGUAAGGCCUGGAUUACUCGGGUCGGCAUCUCUCAAAAGUGUUACAAUCUUGAUGUCAUGGAGAUCAAUGAUGUGACCAGAUUGGAUUUGCAUACUCUACCAUAAUGGUGAUUAACUAUGUAUGGUUGUUCCUAAGAACUUGAUUUUCUUUGAUGAAAAUUAUUCCUUUCACAAUUUCAUCGUUGAUGACGAAGAGAAACUUCCAUCCCUGUAGGAAUCAACACUGUGUCUUCUUAAAGUGGGAUACCGAUAUGAAGGUUCUCAGUAGAAAUUCCAGGGAAACCCCUCACCACAAGUUUAAGCUAACAAUUCAAAAAUUUGUUUAUUAGAUUCUGAGGAAAAGGGUUGCUAUAUAUUAUUGCUAGGCUACAGUUUAUGUUGUUGCUAUUUGAAGGUCCAAAGGAAGAAUCCACUCAUCGAGACGGGGUUAUUCGGAACAUCACACGUUGAUCAACUAGUAUUCAUCUGCUUCUUACGUUCCACUAAUAUGAUAUGCCUAACCCACUAUAUCACUCAAAAUUAGCACAACAUCAUCAAGGAAAGUUAUUAUAGAUUCAAGAGAAAUGGUCAGUCUAAAAGCACAAAAUUGGUACUUGAUUGCUAAUGGAUAACAAGGAGGUUGACAACGAAGAACAAAUAUAGUUGGAAUAAGAACAAGCAAAAUGAAAAACAUGAAUAUGGUGGGAAGAACUUGGUCUUAAUGUAGAGGGCCGUCUCUACUUUCUGGAUCUCGAUGAUAAGCAUCCUCCGCAUUUUGAGCAAAAACAUUUCUGCCGCUAGAAAUCUGAUUUGGUAACACAAAUGCCAAGACAUGAUAUAUAGAGCGGUUCUUCAAUGAUGCAAACCUGGUACGCUGUCCUCAAAACUUCAACUUAGAAUUGUAUUUAUAUAUGUGGAUAGAUAGACUGGUAGGGAGGACUAAUGUUUAUUAUUCUUU